rnacentral:rRNA from 1 species
GAUGAACGCUGGCGGCGUGCCUAAUACAUGCAAGUCGAGCGAACAGACGAGGAGCUUGCUCCUCUGACGUUAGCGGCGGACGGGUGAGUAACAUGUGGAUAACCUACCUAUAAGACUGGGAUAACUUCGGGAAACCGGAGCUAAUACCGGAUAAUAUAUUGAACCGCAUGGUUCAAUAGUGAAAGACGGUUUUGCUAUCACUUAUAGAUGGAUCCGCGCCGCAUUAGCUAGUUGGUAAGGUAACGGCUUACCAAGGCGACGAUGCGUAGCCGACCUGAGAGGGUGAUCGGCCACACUGGAACUGAGACACGGUCCAGACUCCUACGGGAGGCAGCAGUAGGGAAUCUUCCGCAAUGGGCGAAAGCCUGACGGAGCAACGCCGCGUGAGUGAUGAAGGUCUUCGGAUCGUAAAACUCUGUUAUUAGGGAAGAACAAAUGUGUAAGUAACUAUGCACGUCUUGACGGUACCUAAUCAGAAAGCCACGGCUAACUACGUG